CUCUGCUGAGUCCCACAAUAGGACGAAACGGCCGUCAAGCAG
rnacentral:hammerhead_ribozyme from 1 species